rnacentral:rRNA from 1 species
AGUGAACGCUGGCGGUAGGCCUAACACAUGCAAGUCGAACGGCAGCACAGUAAGAGCUUGCUCUUACGGGUGGCGAGUGGCGGACGGGUGAGGAAUACAUCGUACUCUACUUUUUCGUGGGGGUUAACGUAGGGAAACUUACGCUAAUACCGCAUACGACCUACGGGUGAAAGCAGGGGAACUUCGGACCUUGCGCGAUUGAAUGAGCCGAUGUCGGACUAGCUAGUUGGUGGGGUAAAGGCCCACCAAGGCGACGAUCCGUAGCUGGUCUGAGAGGAGGGUCGGCCACACUGGAGCGUGGCCAGCGACCAGACUCCUACGGGAGGCAGCAGUGUGGAAUAUUGGACAAUGGGCGCAAACCUGACCCAGCCAUACCGCGUGGGUGAAGAAGGCCUUCGGGUUGUAAAGCCCUUUUGUUGGGAAAGAAAAGCAGCAGGUUAAUACCCCGCUGUUCUGACGGUACCCAAAGAAUAAGCACCGGCUAACUUCGUG